rnacentral:tRNA from 1 species
AUUGCUUAGGCGGAUUUGGCGCAUCAAAUUUAGGAUUUGAAUAGGAGUAUGAGCUCAGGCAGUA